UAAUACAUGCAAGUCGAACGAACUUCCGUUAAUUGAUUAUGACGUGCUUGCACUGAAUGAGAUUUUAACACGAAGUGAGUGGCGGACGGGUGAGUAACACGUGGGUAACCUGCCCAGAAGCAGGGGAUAACACCUGGAAACAGAUGCUAAUACCGUAUAACAGAGAAAACCGCCUGGUUUUCUUUUAAAAGAUGGCUCUGCUAUCACUUCUGGAUGGACCCGCGGCGCAUUAGCUAGUUGGUGAGGUAACGGCUCACCAAGGCGAUGAUGCGUAGCCGACCUGAGAGGGUAAUCGGCCACAUUGGGACUGAGACACGGCCCAGACUCCUACGGGAGGCAGCAGUAGGGAAUCUUCCACAAUGGACGCAAGUCUGAUGGAGCAACGCCGCGUGAGUGAAGAAGGGUUUCGGCUCGUAAAGCUCUGUUGUUAAAGAAGAACGUGGGUGAGAGUAACUGUUCACCCAGUGACGGUAUUUAACCAGAAAGCCACGGCUAACUACGUGCCAGCAGCCGCGGUAA
rnacentral:rRNA from 1 species